UUUAUUUUGAAGAUAUGUAAUUUGACUUUAUUAAACAAUUCGUGAAUUGGUUAGCACUCCAUCCAGCAAGUAGAGAGAUGCUCCCCCUAAAUUCUUUAUUUGCAUUUUUUAACUCCUUGAAGAGAGGACAGAGAGUCCUAAAAAUAAACUUGAAGGAAAAAAAAAAUCUGUUUUCUGCUCUCAUCCACUGACUUCAGCAUUGAAGCCACUCUCAAAGCACUUUUUCAAAAUAGCAAGAACCUAUUGCCCUCUAAACCUCCUGUCAUCCAGAUGUUUACUCCAACCGCUCCCCUUCACCACUUCAUCCUGUUAUGACCACUGAUUGACUGUCUUUUGCUAAACCUUUCCCUCCUCCUCUCAGCUUCCAGGUCCUGAUCCUCUAUAGUCAUUCUCUGGUCUCCCAACACAAAUGCCAGAAGAACUCAUCAGAUCCUCCUCAGUUGGCAGCACUGAAGGUCUAGGUAUGACAUGGCAGCAAUCACAGCAAGUCACAGCAAUCAAAACCAUGAGGUCAUUGUUUUAGACCAGCUUUGAAUUAUUCCUAUCUUAUCAUAUGGUGAAUAAUGAUUUUAUUUUACGGUGUAGUAGAUACUAAUUGAUCAAACAUGCUACUCUUAAGCUGCUUUAAAUUCUUCUUUCUAUUAAUACUCCAAAUUUACUGGAUUUGGGAUUCUUUCUAGUUAAUAAUCUCCUAUUCUAAAAAGACCAUCAAGCUUAGAUGGUUGGUUAUUGAUCAUUUCACACUUCAGCGUGAAUUGUCUUAAUCAGGUUAAAUUUAUCCAGAUCCUUAGAUAAAAUCACUCCCUGAAGGAGUUGAGUGCCUGAGGGCACUGUGAUAAAUUUAGAGUGUUGGAAGUUACUUAAGAAUACUCUUCUAGCCCCUUCCUCC
rnacentral:lncRNA from 1 species